CUGAAACUCGCCUGCACGAAGUUGGAAUUGCUAGUAAUCGCGGAUCAGCAUGCCGCGGUGAAUACGUUCCCGGGUCUUGUACACACCGCCCGUCACACCAUGGGAGCUGGUAACACCCGAAGUCAGUAGUCUAACCGCAAGGAGGACGCUGCCGAAGGUGGGAUUAGCGACUGGGGUGAAGUCGUAACAAGGUAAC
rnacentral:rRNA from 1 species